CGUGGCCCGCAAGAUGCGCUCAUCGAGGCGACGUCACUCGCCACCUUGACCUUUCACCCCUCAAUUCCCCCGACGCCUGCUGCUGAGCUCUCCCGCAGCGGUGUUGGCUUUCGCCGCGCCGCUCUUCCCGGCCCCAGCACAAAUACACAACACCCUCUCCGGUUGCACUUAAUAAUAUUUACCCGGCGUUUUUAAUUCCGCAGAUACGGCUUCGGGAGUGGAGCACAGUGGCAGGCGGACAAAGCGGGGCGACCUCCAACCCUCCGGCCUUGGCCUCGCCAAGCAGAUGGAAAAGGCUAUCAUGGUCCCCGCGAACUGAAUGGACUUUUAUCACCUGUGACGGGACGUCCUGGAAGCUGCCCGUUAAUCGUGUCCGGGCGGGGGUUGCGAGCGGAGGAGAGACGAGCAAAGGAGGCACAGGCGAUAAACGGGGAUGGCCUCCAGCCGAGGCAGAUAACACAAAGCCGACUCCUGACUCCUGAGGCAACCAAGUACCUCGUCUGAUCUGCUGAUGGUAGUCUGGCUCCAUUUGAACAUGUUUGCUCAAGGCCCCCAAGCAGACUGGGGGCUGGCGGAGACAACUACAAUAAGCUAUUAGGACAUCUAUCAUCCCUCAACAAGCGCAGUGAAAUCAUUUCAACAUGCCGCCACAGACGGAAACACCUCCUAGGUAACCCAUGAGCCAAUCACCACACCCUACGCCUACCUGUACCCACCCACUUUCUGCCCUAUAUAAACCAUUGUAUGUGAAUGCUUCUAUUAAAAUCUCCUGAUGAUUGAGGGAACCCCUCAUGAAACAGUUCUG